rnacentral:rRNA from 1 species
CGAUCCCUAGCUGGUCUGAGAGGAUGACCAGCCACACUGGAACUGAGACACGGUCCAGACUCCUACGGGAGGCAGCAGUGGGGAAUAUUGCACAAUGGGCGCAAGCCUGAUGCAGCCAUGCCGCGUGUAUGAAGAAGGCCUUCGGGUUGUAAAGUACUUUCAGCGGGGAGGAAGGGAGUAAAGUUAAUACCUUUGCUCAUUGACGUUACCCGCAGAAGAAGCACCGGCUAACUCCGUGCCAGCAGCCGCGGUAAUACGGAGGGUGCAAGCGUUAAUCGGAAUUACUGGGCGUAAAGCGCACGCAGGCGGUUUGUUAAGUCAGAUGUGAAAUCCCCGGGCUCAACCUGGGAACUGCAUCUGAUACUGGCAAGCUUGAGUCUCGUAGAGGGGGGUAGAAUUCCAGGUGUAGCGGUGAAAUGCGUAGAGAUCUGGAGGAAUACCGGUGGCGAAGGCGGCCCCCUGGACGAAGACUGACGCUCAGGUGCGAAAGCGUGGGGAGCAAACAGGAUUAGAUACCCUGGUAGUCCACGCCGUAAACGAUGUCGACUUGGAGGUUGUGCCCUUGAGGCGUGGCUUCCGGAGCUAACGCGUUAAGUCGACCGCCUGGGGAGUACGGCCGCAAGGUUAAAACUCAAAUGAAUUGACGGGGGCCCGCACAAGCGGUGGAGCAUGUGGUUUAAUUCGAUGCAACGCGAAGAACCUUACCUGGUCUUGACAUCCACGGAAGUUUUCAGAGAUGAGAAUGUGCCUUCGGGAACCGUGAGACAGGUGCUGCAUGGCUGUCGUCAGCUCGUGUUGUGAAAUGUUGGGUUAAGUCCCGCAACGAGCGCAACCCUUAUCCUUUGUUGCCAGCGGUCCGGCCGGGAACUCAAAGGAGACUGCCAGUGAUAAACUGGAGGAAGGUGGGGACGACGUCAAGUCAUCAUGGCCCUUACGACCAGGGCUACACACGUGCUACAAUGGCGCAUACAAAGAGAAGCGACCUCGCGAGAGCAAGCGGACCUCAUAAAGUGCGUCGUAGUCCGGAUUGGAGUCUGCAACUCGACUCCAUGAAGUCGGAAUCGCUAGUAAUCGUGGAUCAGAAUGCCACGGUGAAUACGUUCCCGGGCCUUGUACACACCGCCCGUCACACCAUGGGAGUGGGUUGCAAAAGAAGUAGGUAGCUUAACCUUCGGGAGGGCGCUUACCACUUUGUGAUUCAUGACUGGGGUGAAGUCGUAACAAGGUAACCGU